GAUGAAGAACGCAGCGAAAUGCGAUAAGUAAUGUGAAUUGCAGAAUUCAGUGAAUCAUCGAAUCUUUGAACGCACAUUGCGCCCGCUAGUAUUCUGGCGGGCAUGCCUGUCCGAGCGUCAUUUCAACCCUCAAGCCCCCGGGCUUGGUGUUGGGGAUCGGCGAGCCUCCGCGCCCGCCGUCCCCUAAAUCUAGUGGCGGUCUCGAUGUAGCUUCCUCUGCGUAGUAGCACACCUCGCACUGGGAAACAGCGCGGCCACGCCGUUAAACCCCCAACUUCUGAACGUUUGACCUCGGAUCAGGUAGGAAUACCCGCUGAACUUAAGCAUAUCAAUAAGCGGAGGA
rnacentral:misc_RNA from 1 species